rnacentral:rRNA from 1 species
GUGGAAUGCGUAGAUAUCAGGAAGAACACCGGUGGCGAAGGCGGUCUUCUGGCACAAUACUGACGCUGAGGAACGAAAGCGUGGGGAGCGAACAGGAUUAGAUACCCUGGUAGUCCACGCCGUAAACGAUGGACACUAGUUGUCGGAGAGCUUGACUUUUCGGUGACGUAGCUAACGUGCUAAGUGUCCCGCCUGGGGAGUACGUCCGCAAGGAUGAAACCCAAAGGAAUUGACGGGGGCCCGCACAAGCGGUGGAGCAUGUGCUUUAAUUCGAUGCAACGCGAAGAACCUUACCUGGUCUUGACAUAUUACUGCCCGUCCUAGAGAUAGGAUUUUUUUCUUCGGAAACAGUAAAUACAGGUGCUGCAUGGUUGUCGUCAGCUCGUGUCGUGAGAUGUUGGGUUAAGUCCCGCAACGAGCGCAACCCUUGUCCUUAGUUGCUAGCAGGUAAUGCUGAGAACUCUAAGGAGACUGCCCACGCAAGUGGGAGGAAGGUGAGGAUGACGUCAAAUCAUCAUGGCCCUUACGACCAGGGCUAGACACGUGCUACAAUGGCCGGUACAAUGGGUUGCUACCUAGCGAUAGGAUGCUAAUCUCAAAAAACCGGUCUCAGUUCGGAUAGGAGUCUGCAACUCGACUCCUUGAAGUUGGAAUCGCUAGUAAUCGUGGAUCAGCAUGCCACGGUGAAUACGUUCCCGGGCCUUGUACACACCGCCCGUCAAGCCACGGAAGUUGGUUGUACCCAAAAUCGUUUCAUUAACCUUCGGGAUGUGAGCGACUAAGGU